UGUUUCGCGUCCCACCAGUAACGCGCGAACAGUAGAGCUCACCUCGGCUUUGUGUCCGGUCGUGAGAACGUAAACACUGAUUUCUGUGAAACACGAUCACGUUAUACUCAAAGUAAAAAAGUGUGCUCCAUUGAAAAAACGUGAGCGUCAAAAUGGCUAAGUUCAAAGGAAGAACUACGAACCGAGGAAAUUGGAGUGGCGAAAAUAUGAGAAGAGCCAUCAAAAUCAGCUGAUUGAGAAAUCAGCAGUUCCGAAAAAAGCAAAAGAUCGCGGUGAAAAAAAGGAACGUCACAAAAGGCAAAGCUGAAUCGAAAUCGCGUGCCAAAAAAAAAGACACCGAGUGCAUAAUUUGUGGCGAAACAUUUGACGAGGACUGGAUCCAAUGCCACAAAUGUCAAGACUGGGCUCACGAGGAAUGCGUUGAUAUAAAUCCAGGCGAUUUAUACUACACGUGUGACGUUUGUGUAGCCAAAGAACGAUUUCGGAAUUAAAUAUCGCAGUGGCCGGAGCUACCCGCCACUUUUCUUCGGAGGAUGAAUUUAAGCCAAAAAUUAACAUUUUUUUUUUAAGUUGUUGAUAAUUUACAAUUUUUUUUGUUCGAUAUUCCGUUGAAAUAUAUCUUUGUUGAAAU